rnacentral:rRNA from 1 species
GUGGGGAAUAUUGGACAAUGGGCGCAAGCCUGAUCCAGCCAUGCCGCGUGAGUGAUGAAGGCCUUAGGGUUGUAAAGCUCUUUUGUCCGGGAAGAUAAUGACUGUACCGGAAGAAUAAGCCCCGGCUAACUUCGUGCCAGCAGCCGCGGUAAUACGAAGGGGGCUAGCGUUGCUCGGAAUCACUGGGCGUAAAGGGCGCGUAGGCGGACUCUUAAGUCGGGGGUGAAAGCCCAGGGCUCAACCCUGGAAUUGCCUUCGAUACUGGGAGUCUUGAGUUCGGAAGAGGUUGGUGGAACUGCGAGUGUAGAGGUGAAAUUCGUAGAUAUUCGCAAGAACACCGGUGGCGAAGGCGGCCAACUGGUCCGAAACUGACGCUGAGGCGCGAAAGCGUGGGGAGCAAACAGGAUUAGAUACCCUGGUAGUCC